rnacentral:pre_miRNA from 1 species
UAGUAAUACCUCCUUCCCAUAAUAAAUACAGUUUGACUGCUCGUCUUAUUUGAAUUUUUUAUUAGUAUUUUUAUUGGUACUAGAUAAAAAAACAUGAAUAAUACUUUAUGUGUGACUAAUUUUCUUUUAUUUUUUUAUAAAUUUUUAAUAUGACAGACAGUCAAACGUUGGAUAUAGAUACCUACGGCUGCACUAAUU